AGCGAACGCUGGCGGCAGGCUUAACACAUGCAAGUCGAGCGCCCCGCAAGGGGAGCGGCAGACGGGAGAGUAACACGUGGGAACAUACCUUUUGGUUCGGAACAACUGAGGGAAACUUCAGCUAAUACCGGAUAAGCCCUUACGGGGAAAGAUUUAUCGCCGAAAGAUUGGCCCGCGUCUGAUUAGCUAGUUGGUGAGGUAACGGCUCACCAAGGCGACGAUCAGUAGCUGGUCUGAGAGGAUGGUCAGCCUCACUGGGACUGAGACACGGCCCAGACUCCUACGGGAGGCAGCAGUGGGGAAUAUUGGACAAUGGGGGCAACCCUGAUCCAGCCAUGCCGCGUGAGUGAUGAAGGCCUUAGGGUUGUAAAGCUCUUUUGCCCGGGAAGAUAAUGACGGUACCGGGAGAAUAAGCCCCGGCUAACUUCGUG
rnacentral:rRNA from 1 species